GACGAACCACACAAACGUUAUUCGGAAUUACUGGGCUUAAAGGGUGCGUAGGCUGCGCAGAAAGUUGGGUGUGAAAUCCCUCGGCUCAACCGAGGAACUGCGCCCAAUACUACUGUGCUCGAGGGAGACAGAGGUGAGCGGAACUUAGGGUGGAGCGGUGAAAUGCGUUGAUAUCCUAAGGAACACCCGUGGCGAAAAGCGGCUCACUGGGGUCUCUUCUGACGCUGAGGCACGAAAGCUAGGGUAGCGAACGGG
rnacentral:rRNA from 1 species